rnacentral:rRNA from 1 species
UAAGUUUGGGGGACUCUAGGAGAGACUGCCGGUGAUAAACCGGAGGAAGGUGGGGAUGACGUCAAAUCAUCAUGCCCCUUAUGACCUGGGCUACACACGUACUACAAUGGCGUAUACAACGGGAAGCGAAAUGGUGACAUGGAGCAAAUCUCACAAAGUACGUCUCAGUUCGGAUUGAAGUCUGCAACUCGACUUCAUGAAGUCGGAAUCGCUAGUAAUCGCGGAUCAGCAUGCCGCGGUGAAUACGUUCUCGGGCCUU